UAUACUAAAAUAAUUUCGGGUUAUGUAGACUAAAAUGAAGGAACAGUUUACUCGGCCGUGUUGGGUGCUAGAGAUUUGGGGUUUUCGCGAGAAGAAAGUAGAGAUUCCGAAUUAGUUCCGAAUGGAGCCGCUUUUUUCGAUUUCGAUCUCGGAUAUUUUUAAAUUAAUUCGCGAAAAUGACGAAUUUUCGUAAAAAUUUUUGCCCUCUAAGAUGGUAAGUAACGGGUGCACAGACGUUUCGGAAAAUAUGGGUCCGGAAAAAUGCCUAUUCUCAAUGGAUAAAGUUGGUUAGGAUUAAUUGAUGGCCCUGUAACCCUUCUCCGAGAACGAUAUAAUCGUUUGAAACAUACGUUACUUUCUAUUUCCUAACGGAAAUGUUUGAAAAAAGCGUAAGAAAAUGAUCAAUUUUUGACGUCUAUCAUCGAACAUUUCAAUCGCUGACAGUUGUCGUGAAAUGGAACAUUCCAUUUCGCGAAAAAGGGGCGGUCGCCCAAAGUUCGUUUGUCGUAAUUAUUAUGAGAAAUAUUUUUAAUUUCUGAUAUAAUUUAGAACGAAUUCAAUUGAUUUUUGAAUGGAAAAUCGAUUAUUAAUACGUUUUCAAAUUGAAAAUUUGCAUAUUUCACACCAAUCUUGAAAGUAUUUCAUAAUCAUCAUUUCGUCACUGAGGAAGUUCGAUGAAAUUUCAUAUGACAUUUCGAGAAAUCACUCUACAGUUGUCUACAGUGAUUCAGUUUUCAAACGAUUCCGUGCAGUUAUUGAAUGAAAUAUCGAUAAUUAAUUCGUUUUCUAAUCAAAAUAAAGCAUAUUUUACAAAGGAGAACACUAUAUCCACACAUAUAGCGAUUUGAACGUAUACGAAAAAUAAGGAAAUGCUGAAUUUGCUGGCAACUGAGAAGCUUAUAAUAUCCGAUUCAGAAGUUUAUGAAAUAUAUUGUAGGUUCUAGGUGUCAACACCGAAGGCCCGACGAAAAAGUUGUUAUUUUUUGGCCCAACAUUCAAUAUAGGUGAAGGACAUCACAUUAUUUACGUAUUAAGCAUAUAUUCUUAAUGAAUUUAUCAUUUCAUAGUAGGAUUAUGAAUCCGGGAAUAUUAUGGAUCAUUCAUGGUUAUAGUUCUUUGCCUAUGAUGGAUAAUGAUUGAUAGAGGUUAUGUCAAAUUGGAGAAACUUGAUGUAUUUCACAAGUCAUUGUUUAUAAGAAAAACUCUACAAUCCAUCAAAUAAUGCCUUCGUGAAUGGAGAUGUGAGAAGUGCAUUCCAGAUUCCAACAGUACAUCUGCAGAAUGAAGUCAUUUCAAAAUGAAAUAAAUAUUCCCAAGAAAGGAUCUAGAAGUAUUGGUUAGUACCUUUAGAAUUUGAGUAAGAAUUGCCAUUCAAAUCAUAGUGUAUUGAAAUAUUUGAUAUUUUCUAUCAAGUUUCAAGAAACCUGGCGUUCACAAAUAUUGAAAAUAACUAAUAACAAUUUAUAUAUGUUAUAUGAACAUGUAUUUCACUAUGAAUUGAUCCUGAUACAUCAAAUAAUGCCUUCGUGUAUGGAGAUGUGAGAAGUGCAUUCCAACAGUACAUCAGCAGAAUGAAGUCAUUUCAAAAUGAAAUAAAUAUUCCCAAAAAAGGAUUUAGAAGUAUUGGUUAGUACCGUUAGAAUUUGAGUAAGAAUUACCAUUCAAAUCAUAGUGUAUUGUAACAUUUGAUUUUCCAAUCAAGUUUAAUUGGAUAUGGCGUUCACAAAUAUUGAAAAUGACUACUAAAAACUCAUAUAUGUUAUAUGAUUAUGUAUUUCACUAUGAAUUGAUCCAUUCUGAUGUUUCGAGACUUCUCCUUGAAAAGAACGACAUAGGUGUUUGUUGGUUGCCUGACGAUCAGUUGAAUUUACCAGAAAGACCAUUGAAAGAAAAUUCCAUUCAAGAAGGCAGUCCCAUAGCUCACAAAUGUAUAGAACAAUUCAAGGGAGAAUCAGCGAAGGUCAUGACAAAUUUUACUUUUCCGUAGAGAGUAAAUAAGCAGGGUUUGAAAAAAAAAAUCAUUUCAGAAUACUUAACUGUGUGUAAAUAUGGAUGUGGAAUGAAGAAAGAGAUUUCAAUGGAAUUUCCUGGAUAUCGAAUGAUAAGAAGUGGUAUAUUGGUUGACGAUCAGUUGAAUUUACCAGAAUGAUCAUUGAAAGAAAAUUCCAUUCAAGAAGGCAGUCCCAGAGCUCACAAAUGUGUAGAACAAUUCAAGGGAGAAUCAGCGAAGGUCAUGACAAAUUUCACUUUUCCGUAGAGAGUAAAUAAGCAGGGUUUGAAAAAAAAAAUCAUUUCAGAAUACUUAACUGUAUGUAAAUAAGGAUGUGGAAUGAAGAAAGAGAUUUCAAUGGAAUUUCCUGGAUAUAGAAUGAUAAGAAGUGGUAUUUCUAUGCUGUCACUUUCGAAAAAUUAUUCUAGAGAGAAUUAUAAUUUGAAGUAUUUCACAGCUUGCAAUUAUAGGAAUAUGGCAUUACAUAGAUUUAUCCUACAGAUCUAGAAGUAUUGGUUAGUACCGUUAGAAUUUGAGUAAGAAUUGCUAUUCAAAUCAUAGGAUGGAUCGAAACAUUUGAUUUCCCAAUCAAAUUUUACGGAAUAUGGUGUUCACAAAUAUUGAAAAUAACUACUAAAAACUUAUCGUUAUUAUAUGAACAUGUAUUUUAAAAUGAAUUGAUCCUUUGAGACUUCUCCUCAAAAGAACAAGUGAUUGUUGAUCACUUCACGAUGAAUUGAAUUUAUCAGAACGACCCUUGGAAGAGAAUUCAAUUUGAGAGAGCAACCUCGGAGCACGCAGAACAAUUCAAGGUUAGAUGAGCGAAGGUUAUGUCAAAUUUUACGUUUCCAUAGAGAGUAAAUAAGCAGGACUUAAAAAAGCAAAUCAUUUGAAACUAUUUAAGUGGAUGAAAAUUGUCAUGUGGUCUGUAGAAACAGAUUCCAGUGGAUUUUGCCAGAUAUCGAAUAAUGGGAAUUGAUUCUUCUACGCUUCCACUUUUGAGAAGUUAUACUAGGAUGGAAAAAAAAAUCAUUUGAAGUAUCCUGUGAAAAUGUUUAGAUCUUGCAAGUUAAGAAAUAUAUGAUUACAUAAGUUUAUUCUACUAUAUGAAAGAUAUUUUUUAGGGUUUAUUUCCAAACAUAUGUAACAUCUUUAAUAACAGAGGUUUAUGCUACUGUAAUAAUAAGAUUCACAUUUCAAGAAAAAUGUAUGAUACUGUUAUAUUCUUCAAACAAUAAAUAUUCUUACAUUGCUACCUUAUUGCUAUGAUUGAUAGACAGUGAACAUUAUUUGAAUCUAUCAUGAAAAAUUAAAUGUUAAUUUUCUGCAUUACAUGAAAUAUGAAAAGCCCUCUCCUUAUGUUUAUGUCAUAACAAUUUUUCAAUGGUUUAUUCAACAAUAUAUUUACUUGAAUGGAAAACUAAGUCUAGCUAGGUAUAACGAUAUUGAU